AAUCGGAGGCCUCUGGAAAAAAUACAGUCAGAACCUGGCAACAGGCAAGGGAACAAGGCCUUGCGGUGCAGGGGGGCGGUUACGGGGGGGGGGGGGGGAGGCUGGUGUUGACCAAAAUGCACACUGAGACUGGACCCUUCCCUUUGCCCCACUCGGCGGAGGAGCAGCCCAGGUGGACAAGGCACCGGACAGAGAACGGGCCUCUGUGGGCAGGUGCUGAGGACCGAUGGGCAGCCAGCAGGUGGCUAAGAUCACUGCCUCCUUUGCCGGCUUUCUGGACCAGGGCCACCCGGCCCCCCAGUCCCAGCUCCUUCGGGCCUGGGAUGGGGAAAGGAGGCAGGGCAGAGCCCAGGACGAGGGAAGGCCGGUCCUAUCUGGACGCAAGGGGUCGGGCACCAUCUCAUCUUCAGACCCUUGUAGGACAAGAUGUCUACAGACACUGGCCCAUUAAUGAUGGGGGCCGGAGGGGAGACAGGAUGCUAGGCUGGUGAGAGGGUCACCACGGCUUCGAGAUGCCUGGAUGUCCUGUUUAAUUUGCACCAGUGGGCAGGCCCCACAAUUACCACCCACCGGGCUCUGAGCUCCUUCCUCCGUCAGUUGGGGCACAGGGCUGGCCCCUACCUGCCCACCAGGCAGGCCCCAAGUGACCCUGCCUCCAGGAGACCUUCUGAGCCUGUACACCGGCCCCUGCCAAGGAGGAGGAGGUGGAAAGCAGCCGCUUGGGGAGGGAGUGACCUUGGGCUCACGUGUGGUGAGGGAGCUGGGAGGUGGGGACAUGGGCAGCAGGGUGGGCCUAAGGGUGCCUGCGGCAGGCUUGGGUCUCCCCAGCCUGGAAACCUUCUCGUGCUUUGGGGGGCGGGGCCGGAACUGGCACGUGACCCAGCUCUCACGCAGGACAACCGGAGGGAGACCGGGCCAGCUGAAAGGCCCACGUAGCUACCGACCUCCACCAUUGUGACACUCUCAGCACCUGAGGUUUUUAGUCUUCUAAGGGGUCCCAGCAGCCUCCAGCCCCUACAUCUCCCACCCCCACUCCUGGAGGAAAGCCAGGGACAGAACAAGUGUCCCUGUUCACACUUGGUUGUUUUUUAAGUUCCUGCGUUCACACCUGGGGCUCAGCCCCUGUUCUCCUCCAACCCCCACCUCCCCUAAGAAGCCAGAGGCCCCUCCCCAGCCUCGCACACAAACACUGCACUCUCUCUGGUGAAAGUGGGGGUCCAGGGAUGUUGUGCGGGGUUGCUGGAAAACUCUGCAGACAAUGAGGGCCAGGCCCCUCCCAAUCACAAACAAGACCCCAUGGGCUGGAGUGGCCGGACCCCCAACACCCGCUCCCCCCCUCCCCCGGAGGAAGAGGCCAGCCCCUGGAGAGGUUCGGCCCAGGCCCUAGCCCUGCCCCAGGCUGGGGACAAUCAGGCCCUCCUCCCAGGAGACCCAUUCCCCCAGGGGACUCCACCCAGCCCCACCCUCCGAGGUAGACCUCUCUACUCAGGCUGACCUGGAGACUCCCUGGGCGCCCUUCAGGAGAUAGGGGAAUUAUUCAAGUUCAAGACCAAAGGUGAUGCGCAAAUCCGAUUCAACUGGAAGGAAGCAGGGGAAGGCGGAGGGAGCAUUUUGGAAAAUGGAAGCGCGAUGCAGGCAGGUGGGCCAGGCACAGCCUCUGGGGAGCUAUGCUAUCCAAGGUGAGCUGCUUCCCUUCUCUAAACCUCAAUUUUCGUGCCUGUAAAAUGGAGUAAUGGUGCCUACUUCUGGUUAAGAGUUUUCAACAAAAUAACAUAUACAGAGUAUCAUGGAGUCGGGGACGUAAAAGAUGCUCAAUAAAACGUUACCUCCUCCCUCUUUGUCCUUUAGAGGCUGCACAUCCAGUCGUCCUACUUCCUGUUCCCAUGACCUCAUUGUGAGAAGACCCCACCCAGCCCCUCUGGCUACAGCGCUGGCCCCAGACCCCAGAUGAUGACCCCACCCUAAUUUCCACCACAACCUGGGGCAGCCAGAACCCCUCUCCCCAUUCUCUGCCUCUUUCCUGGGCUGG